rnacentral:lncRNA from 1 species
GAAAAGGAAAAAAAAAAAAGAGGUCUUUUGGGGCUGAGAAACAGAGAGCUUCGUCCAGAAGCAAAGGAAAAGAAAAAGAACAGAGCAAAAGGAAUCCAAGGAAACAAGGGAACCCGCAACUGGUUGCUGUUGCCUCUGCCACCACCGGAAUCUGCCAAUACUACCUGCGAUUCUUCACCGAACAAGAGCACUAUGAGUUUCAUUGUUUUUUCUAAAAAUUUCAGUUCUUCUCCAGCUUUUAAAAUGGGUUUUCCGUGGUUUCAUUUGGUGCAAUUUCCUGUUGGUUAUUCGCGAAUUUGGAGUAUGUAUGUUUUAAUGAUGACUGGAAUUGGAUUUCCUUGUUUUCUGACAAUUUUGGGGCUGAUUAUAACGUCAAUUGAGUAGGGAAUCGGUGAAAUCUUAAUGCCCAUUUGUUGCUUGAUGAAAUGCCCAACUGAGAUUUUGGCUUGAAAGACGAAUUGAUUUCUGUUUUGCAUACGUUCGGUCAGUCCAUGCUUGUCAAAAUAGUUGAUUUUUAUGAAACAAAUGAGAGUUUUUGAAGGAUUCGAAUGGGUUCGUUUGGCAUCUGUUUUGUUUCUCUUUUGCUUGGUGUUCCUUUUGUAUGGAUUCAAUUUGAUGUUAUGAGAUUGUGUGAGAUGAGGCUGGCGCGAAUUUCAUUUGAUCUUUCUGGUAGUUUUCCUUCACAAGGAAGGACGAAAAUGGCAACUGAUGUUGAAUCAGUUUGGGGAAGAUGACUACUUGUCUCAAUUUGUAAUUUCAGUCCCUCCAUUUGUUUCCUUCUUUGUGAUUUAACCCUAAAGUUUUUGGAACUUCACAAUUCGACCGCAAAACUGUGUAGAUUUUUCAAUUAGGUCCCUAUUUUGGUUGUCUUUCGAAGCUCUGAUUUUUUCGGAAUUUUUUGUAGUUUAAACCCUGGAUUUUCCAUAUAAUUCUGAUAGGAUCCGAAAAUUGGAAAAAUUGACUCAUUUCACCCUUUUAGAUUUUAAUCACCUUUUAAUAUUUUUAAGUAGUCUUUUGGAUAGAUUAAUUUUUGAUUUUAGGUCAUAAUUGUGGCUUAAUAAUUUUAGUUGAUUUGAUUAUGUUGGGUUUUAGUGAAAUAGGUGAUUUGGGCUAAGAGGUUAUUUGGUUGGGUUUGUAAAAGUGGA